GGCCUUAAAAUGCUGAGACAGAGUUAUGCACAGACUGGAAUAAAAAGCCAAUCUCUCUCGUGGCACAGGGAAGGAGAUACAAGCUCGUUUACAUGUGAUAGAUCUAACAAAGGCAUCUACCGAAGUCUGGUCUGGAUAGACGGCACAGGGAGCUCUUAGGUAAGCGCUGCUGGUUGGAGGACAUUCCUGAGUCCAGCUUUGCAGCCUUUGUGCAACAGUACUUUCCCAGGAUCCACAGGAAAUACUCAGAGUCCACCUGGACAUUUUACUUAUAUUCAGUUUCCAAGUGUCAGAGGGGUUCAGGACUGUCUGGCCUGGGGGCCUCCUCAUGACCUCAAUUCAGGAUUAUCUACUCAAAGCAUUAAACAAAAGGAAAUACAUUUUCAGGAUGAAGGCUGCUCUUUUAAGCCCUGCUGAAGAAACCAUUUCAAACAGGAUUGGAAUAGGGAAACCCGGCACUCAGCUCGGCGCAAGCCGGCGGUGCCUUCAGACUAGAGAGCCUCUCCUCCGGUGCGCUGCAAGUAGGGCCUCGGCUCGAGGUCAACAUUCUAGUUGUCCAGCGCUCCCUCUCCGGCACCUCGGUGAGGCUAGUUGACCCGACAGGCGCGGAUCAUGAGCAGCUGCAGGAGAAUGAAGAGCGGGGACGUAAUGAGGCCGAACCAGAGCUCCCGAGUCUGCUCCGCCAGCUUCUGGCACAACAGCAUCUCGAAGACGAACUUGAGACUCAGGACCGUGAGUACCCAGAAAAGGCGGAGCACCGCCAGCCGCUUCUCUCCAUCCUGGAAGAGGCGCACGGACACGAUGGUGGUGAAGUAGGUGCUGAGCCCGUCAGCGGCGAAGAAAGGCACGAACACGUUCCACCAGGAGAGGCCCGGGACCAGGCCAUCCACACGCAGUGCCAGCAGCACAGAGAACACCAACAGGGCCAGCAGGUGCACGAAGAUCUCGAAGGUGGCGAAGCCUAGCCACUGCACCAGCUCCCGGAGCGAGAAGAGCAUCGCGCCCGUUGAGCGCGGGCCGGGGCCCGGCCGAGCGUGCCACCCGCGGGGCUGCG
rnacentral:lncRNA from 1 species